GUUGCAGCCAUGGAUUUAAUCAAGUGGUGGUAAAAGGCCUGAUGAAUUACUUUUUAGAGUCAGUAUGUUUGUCGAUCUGACUAUCUUAUUGUAGUCAAACCAUCAUUCCAGUAAUCAAGAUUAGUGAGUUUAUGAACCCUCAUUUCCUCAUUCAUACUUAUCACACCAUGUGGACUGUAAAGCAGCUGUCACACUGUCUGCCAGCUUCCCUGCACUGGAAACACUUACUGUAAGUUACUGUUGUAAUCACAAUAAACAAAACAAAAACACAACAUCCAUGUAAAGUUUGAUGAUUACUGAUCACUUAUUUGUUGUGUUUUAACUGUUCACACUAAUGGAAAGAUGUCUCUGAUGGUUGGGGUUUGGAGAUGAUGUGAAUAUUUGAGUGAAGUUAAGUUUUAAAUUAUGUCAAACAACAUUUUAAGUUUCUGAAAUUCUGAUUCUGAACCUCAACAUAUUUUCCACUGAAAACCUAAAUCAGUCUCAGUGGCUCUACUCAGAACGUGUGAUACCUGCAGGUAUCACAGGUAUGACAAUGGACCAUCAAAUGAUGUAUGGGCCGACUUGCACUGCAAGAUGUAUCCAGAACGGAUAAGGAUCAUGGAUCCAGAUUUAGAUCGUUACAUCCCAUCAGUCCGUUAAAAUUUUACAGAAUAAUUACUGAAAAAAAUAAACGUUUCAAACUGCAUUGUAUCUGUUUUCCCAUAUUUUUAUCUUGAUUUUCUGUCACCUUCAUUUUGUACAGUUUGUCAUGUUACAGCUGAAUAAUUCGAUUUGAAAAUCAAAUGUAUCACAAAUCUUUAUGCUGUCUAUGAUGAUGAUGUAUAUGAUGAGGUAAUUAAAAUUAAUUCUUCCCUCAUCAGGGUCCACACAUAUUCAUAUUCUUGGUCAACUAGAUUAAAAUGGAGGCUUUGCUCCAUGAUGAAUCCUGGUAUUGGAGCUCCAUUGACCACUCAUAUAAGGCACAAGGUAAACUCAGCAUUAAUUGUCAAUAUUGAUUCAACUUUAGCUAACACAUAGAAUA
ensembl:lncRNA